GAUGAGCGCUGGCGGCGUGCCUAAUACAUGCAAGUCGAGCGAACAGACGAGGAGCUUGCUCCUUCGACGUUAGCGGCGGACGGGUGAGUAACACGUAGGUAACCUACCUAUAAGACUGGGAUAACUUCGGGAAACCGGAGCUAAUACCGGAUAAUAUUUCGAACCGCAUGGUUCGAUAGUGAAAGAUGGCUUUGCUAUCACUUAUAGAUGGACCUGCGCCGUAUUAGCUAGUUGGUAAGGUAACGGCUUACCAAGGCAACGAUACGUAGCCGACCUGAGAGGGUGAUCGGCCACAAUGGAACUGAGACACGGUCCAGACUCCUACGGGAGGCAGCAGUAGGGAAUCUUCCGCAAUGGGCGAAAGCCUGACGGAGCAACGCCGCGUGAGUGAUGAAGGUCUUCGGAUCGUAAAACUCUGUUAUUAGGGAAGAACAAACGUGUAAGUAACUGUGCACGUCUUGACGGUACCUAAUCAGAAAGCCACGGCUAACUACGUG
rnacentral:rRNA from 1 species